GGGCCCUAUUCCUGCCAUGCGGGGUGGGACCACUUCAGGAGACUGGCUGCUAGAGUAUGGGGAGAGGUUGAGUUUAAGACAGAUCGCUGAAUGCCUUCCCUGGAGUGGGGGACGAUUUGGGAAGAUUUUUAAGGAGCCCCAUUAGCAGGUGUACAACGCCAGCUCCCUCCUUGGGGGGCGGCCUGGGGGCUACCAUGGCCCCCAACCACCUGUCAGUGCGGGAAAUGAGGGAAGAUGAGAAGCCCCUGGUGCUGGAGAUGCUGAAGGCUGGUGUAAAAGACACGGAAAACCGUGUGGCCCUUCACGCUCUGACACGUCCUCCAGCCCUUCUCCUCCUGGCUGCAGCCAGCAGUGGACUGCGCUUCAUCCUGGCCUCCUUCGCCCUGGCCCUCCUGCUGCCCGUGUUUCUGGCUGUAGCGGCUGUGAAGCUGGGUCUGCGAGUUCGAUGGGGCUCUCUGCCUCCACCAGGCGGGCUGGGGGGUCCCUGGGUGGCUGUCCGGGGAUCCGGCGAUGUGUGUGGAGUCCUGGCUCUGGCCCCU
rnacentral:lncRNA from 1 species